GAUGAACGCUGGCGGCGUGCCUAAUACAUGCAAGUCGAGCGAACAGACGAGGAGCUUGCUCCUCUGACGUUAGCGGCGGACGGGUGAGUAACACGUGGAUAACCUACCUAUAAGACUGGGAUAACUUCGGGAAACCGGAGCUAAUACCGGAUAAUAUAUUGAACCGCAUGGUUCAAUAGUGAAAGACGGUUUUGCUGUCCCUUAUAGAUGGAUCCGCGCCGCAUUAGCUAUUUGGUAAGGUAACGGCUUACCAAGGCAACGAUGCGUAGCAGAACUGAGAGGGUGUCCGCCCACUAAGGACCUGAGCCACGGUCCAGACCCCUGCGAUGAGCAGCAGUAGAGAAGCUUGCGGAAUGGGCGAAAGCGUCACAGUAAAAUGACCCUGGAGAUACCACGGCCUCAGCAGAGUGGACCGCUGUUACUAGUGAUGAACAAAGGUGUAAGUAACUAUGCAUGUCUUGACGGUACCUAAUGACAAUGCCACGGCUAACUACAUG
rnacentral:rRNA from 1 species